ACGGGAGGCCGCAGUGGGGAAUAUUGGGCAAUGGGGGAAACCCUGACCCAGCAACGCCGCGUGGAGGAAGAAGGUCUUCGGAUCGUAAGCUCCUGUCCUCAAAGACGAGAAGAAGACGGUAAUUGAGGAGGAAGCCCCGGCUAACUACGUGCCAGCAGCCGCGGUAAUACGUAGGGGGCAAGCGUUGUCCGGAAUGAUUGGGCGUAAAGGGCGCGUAGGCGGCCUGUUAAGUCUGGAGUGAAAGUCCUGCUUUUAAGGUGGGAAUUGCUUUGGAUACUGAUGGGCUUGAGUGCAGGAGAGGUAAGUGGAAUUCCCAGUGUAGCGGUGAAAUGCGUAGAGAUUGGGAGGAACACCAGUGGCGAAGGCGACUUACUGGACUGUAACUGACGCUGAGGCGCGAAAGUGUGGGGAGCAAACAGGAUUAGAUACCCUGGUA
rnacentral:rRNA from 1 species